rnacentral:rRNA from 1 species
AGCGUUGUCCGGAAUUACUGGGCGUAAAGAGUUCGUAGGCGGUUUGUCGCGUCGUUUGUGAAAACCCGGGGCUCAACUUCGGGCUUGCAGGCGAUACGGGCAGACUUGAGUGUUUCAGGGGAGACUGGAAUUCCUGGUGUAGCGGUGAAAUGCGCAGAUAUCAGGAGGAACACCGGUGGCGAAGGCGGGUCUCUGGGAAACAACUGACGCUGAGGAACGAAAGCGUGGGUAGCAAACAGG